rnacentral:rRNA from 13 species
CUUGAGAGUUUGAUCCUGGCUCAGAACGAACGCUGGCGGCAGGCUUAACACAUGCAAGUCGAGCGGUAACAGAUCUAGCUUGCUAGAUGCUGACGAGCGGCGGACGGGUGAGUAAUGCAUAGGAAACUGCCCAGUAGUGGGGGAUAGCCCGGGGAAACCCGGAUUAAUACCGCGUACGCCCUUCGGGGGAAAGCAGGGGAUCUUCGGACCUUGCGCUAUUGGAUGUGCCUAUGUCGGAUUAGCUAGUUGGUGGGGUAAAGGCCUACCAAGGCGACGAUCCAUAGCUGGUCUGAGAGGAUGAUCAGCCACACUGGGACUGAGACACGGCCCAGACUCCUACGGGAGGCAGCAGUGGGGAAUAUUGGACAAUGGGCGCAAGCCUGAUCCAGCCAUGCCGCGUGAGUGAUGAAGGCCCUAGGGUUGUAAAGCUCUUUCACCGGUGAAGAUAAUGACGGUAACCGGAGAAGAAGCCCCGGCUAACUUCGUGCCAGCAGCCGCGGUAAUACGAAAGGUGCAAGCGUUAAUCGGAAUUACUGGGCGUAAAGC